rnacentral:rRNA from 1 species
CCCAGACUCCUACGGGAGGCAGCAGUGAGGAAUAUUGGUCAAUGGCCGAGAGGCUGAACCAGCCAAGUCGCGUGAGGGAAGAAUGUCCUAAGGAUUGUAAACCUCUUUUGUCGGGGAGCAAAAGACGCCACGCGUGGCGUUCCGAGAGUACCCGAAGAAAAAGCAUCGGCUAACUCCGUGCCAGCAGCCGCGGUAAUACGGAGGAUGCGAGCGUUAUCCGGAUUUAUUGGGUUUAAAGGGUGCGUAGGCGGAACAUUAAGUCAGCGGUCAAAUUGCGGGGCUCAACCCCGUACUGCCGUUGAAACUGCAUCCCUUGAGUGCGCGAGAAGUAUGCGGAAUGCGUGGUGUAGCGGUGAAAUGCAUAGAUAUCACGCAGAACUCCGAUUGCGAAGGCAGCAUACCGGCGCGCAACUGACGCUCAUGCACGAAAGCGUGGGUAUCGAACAGGAUUAGAUACCCCAGUAGG